rnacentral:rRNA from 1 species
UUAAUUAUGUUAAAGCGCCUUACCUUAGGGUUUCCUCUGGGGUAAGUGAUUGCUUCUACACUGUGAAAAUUUGGCUGAGAGACUCAGACUGGUCAUGGGUAGACCUAUCUGGGGUUUGAUCGAUGCCACUCCUGGUUUCAGGAGCACCCUUCAUAAUAAACCUAGAAAUUCAGUAUUAUAAAGUUUAAUAAAAAACAACUUUUAACAAUGGAUCUCUUGGUUCUCGCAUCGAUGAAGAACGUAGCAAAGUGCGAUAACUAGUGUGAAUUGCAUAUUCAGUGAAUCAUCGAGUCUUUGAACGCAGCUUGCACUCUAUGGUUUUUCUAUAGAGUACGCCUGCUUCAGUAUCAUCACAAACCCACACAUAACAUUUGUUUAUGUGGUGAUGGGUCGCAUCGCUGUUUUAUUACAGUGAGCACCUAAAAUGUGUGUGAUUUUCUGUCUGGCUUGCUAGGCAGGAAUAUUACGCUGGUCUCAGGAUCUUUUUUUUUGGUUCGCCCAGGAAGUAAAGUACAAGAGUAUAAUCCAGUAACUUUCAAACUAUGAUCUGAAGUCAGGUGGGAUUACCCGCUGAACUUAAGCAUAUCAAUAAGCGGAGGAAAAGAAAAUAACAAUGAUUUCCCUAGUAACGGCGAGUGAAGAGGAAAGAUUUA